UGGGGAAUUUUGGACAAUGGGGGAAACCCUGAUCCAGCCAUCCCGCGUGUGCGAUGAAGGCCUUCGGGUUGUAAAGCACUUUUGGCAGGAAAGAAACGUCAUGGGUUAAUACCCCGUGAAACUGACGGUACCUGCAGAAUAAGCACCGGCUAACUACGUGCCAGCAGCCGCGGUAAUACGUAGGGUGCAAGCGUUAAUCGGAAUUACUGGGCAUAAAGCGUGCGCAGGCGGUUCGGAAAGAAAGAUGUGAAAUCCCAGAGCUCAACUUUGGAACUGCAUUUUUAACUACCGGGCUAGAGUGUGUCAGAGGGAGGUGGAAUUCCGCGUGUAGCAGUGAAAUGCGUAGAUAUGCGGAGGAACACCGAUGGCGAAGGCAGCCUCCUGGGAUAACACUGACGCUCAUGCACGAAAGCGUGGGGAGCAAACAGG
rnacentral:rRNA from 1 species